rnacentral:rRNA from 1 species
CCUACGGGAGGCAGCAGUAAGGAAUAUUGGUCAAUGGAGGCAACUCUGAACCAGCCAUGCCGCGUGCAGGAAGACGGCCCAUGGGUUGUAAACUGCUUUUGAACUAGAGAAAACCUUGGUACGUGUACCGAGUUGAUAGUAUAGUUAGAAUAAGCAUCGGCUAACUUCGUGCCAGCAGCCGCGGUAAGACGAAGGAUGCAAGCGUUAUCCGGAUUCAUUGGGUUUAAAGGGUGCGUAGGCGGACUGAUAAGUCAGUGGUGAAAUCUCUCAGCUUAACUGAGAAACUGCCAUUGAUACUGUUAGUCUAGAGUACAGAUGAUGUGGGCGGAAUAUGACAUGUAGUGGUGAAAUACUUAGAUAUGUCAUAGAACACCGAUUGCGAAGGCAGCUCACAAAACUGUAACUGACGCUGAGGCACGAAAGUGCGGGGAUCAAACAGGAUUAGAUACCCUGGUAGUCCGCACCGUAAACGAUGAUUACUCGUUGUUGGCGAUAUGACAGUCAGCGACCAAGCGAAAGCGANAAGUAAUCCACCUGGGGAGUACGCCGGCAACGGUGAAACUUAAAUGAAUUGACGG